rnacentral:rRNA from 1 species
UACGGAAGGCAGCAGUGGGGAAUAUUGCACAAUGGGCGCAAGCCUGAUGCAGCCAUGCCGCGUGUAUGAAAAAGGCCUUCGGGUUGUAAAGUACUUUCAGUCGUGAGGAAGGUGUUAAGGUUAAUAACCUUAGCAAUUGACGUUAGCGACAGAAGAAGCACCGGCUAACUCCGUGCCAGCAGCCGCGGUAAUACGGAGGGUGCGAGCGUUAAUCGGAAUUACUGGGCUAAAGGGCACGCAGGCGGUUAAUUAAGUUGGAUGUGAAAUCCCCGGGCUUAACCUGGGAAUGGCAUUCAAGACUGGUUAGCUAGAGUCUUGUAGAGGGGGUAGAAUUCCAUGUGUAGCGGUGAAAUGCGUAGAGAUGUGGAGGAAUACCGGUGGCGAAGGCGGCCCCUGGACAAAGACUGACGCUCAUGUGCGAAAGCGUGGGGAGCAAACAGGGAUUAGAUACCCGU